UACGGGGGGGGCAAGCGUUGUUCGGAAUUACUGGGCGUAAAGGGCUCGUAGGUGGCCAACUAAGUCAGACGUGAAAUCCCUCGGCUUAACCGGGGAACUGCGUCUGAUACUGGAUGGCUUGAGUUUGGGAGAGGGACGCGGAAUUCCAGGUGUAGCGGUGAAAUGCGUAGAUAUCUGGAGGAACACCGGUGGCGAAGGCGGGUCUCUGGACAGUUCCUGACGCUGAGGCACGAAGGUCAGGGGAGCAAACGGG
rnacentral:rRNA from 1 species